CCACGGGUGAGUAACACGUAUCCAACCUGCCGUCUACUCUUGGCCAGCCUUCUGAAAGGAAGAUUAAUCCAGGAUGGCAUCAUGAGUUCACAUGUCCGCAUGAUUAAAGGUAUUUUCCGGUAGACGAUGGGGAUGCGUUCCAUUAGAUAGUAGGCGGGAUAACGGCCCACCUAGUCAACGAUGGAUAGGGGUUCUGAGAGGAAGGUCCCCCACAUUGGAACUGAGACACGGUCCAA
rnacentral:rRNA from 1 species